rnacentral:miRNA from 1 species
CCAGUCCUGUGCCCACCACCU